UUUGUACUCCCUCCGUUCGGAAUUACUUGUCACAAAAAUGAAUGUAUCUACAACUAAAAUACAUCUAGAUACAUUCAUUUCUUGGACGAGUAAUUCCGAACGGAGGGAGUAGUUG
rnacentral:pre_miRNA from 1 species